ACCAGGUGCUCCGGCAGUUCGCAGCUUGCUUGAACUGUUCACUGAAAAACCCUAGUGUCUGACAAAAAUCCCUUAUAAAUGCUCUUCAAAACCCUCUCUAUGUCCGCCUCUUCCACUCUUACACUUCUCUCUUCAGUCCCAUCUUAGAAGCUUAGCCCUAUUUCUCUUUCCAUCUUUCUUGCUCCAUGGAAUUCUGGGGUGUUGA
rnacentral:misc_RNA from 1 species